rnacentral:rRNA from 1 species
UACGGAGGGUGCAAGCGUUAUCCGGAUUCACUGGGUUUAAAGGGUGCGUAGGAGGGCAGGUAAGUCAGUGGUGAAAUCCUAGAGCUUAACUCUAGAACUGCCGUUGAUACUAUCUGUCUUGAAUAUUGUGGAGGUGAGCGGAAUAUGUCAUGUAGCGGUGAAAUGCUUAGAUAUGACAUAAAACACCAAUUGCGAAGGCAGCUCGCUACACAUAUAUUGACUCUGAGGCACGAAAGCGUGGGGAUCAAACAGG